AUGGUGGGUGGCCCAAAUUUUGGAGGGUGGAUUAUGAUGGAGGGCCACCCUCACUUUUUUCUUCAUUCUAAAACAUAUAUUACAUGAUGGAGGGUGGCCCAAAUUUUGUUUGGGGUUUUCAGCAGGUGAACGCUCCUCCAUAAAUCGUACUCCAUUGCUGGAAAGUAUCAGGUGAACGCUUCAAUCAAACGUGUUUUGGAUUAUCUGUGGAACCCAAUUCGAGUUUCCAAGUGCAGUUCUAUCAACCCCCACUACCCAAAAUUGCGCUACACUUUUCUUAUAGAAAACAUACAUCCAACACUCUGGUUCUCUAGACGCAGAAGGGGAAGAGCAAGAUUCGAGAGCUGACUCUUCGAGAAAUUAGCGACAUUAAGGUAUACUUUGAUUGCAUACACAGUUGAUUAGGGAAUAAUAUUGCUAUUGUCCUUGUAUGUCUGUUGUUUUAGCCAUCACUAUCAUCUUCUUCAGCAGCAAUUUCGUUAGCAUGAAAUUAGUUUAUUCGAUUGGCAGCAGGUGGCAACACAUAGGUAGAGCAUCCACUUCAACUGUUAUAAGGUAACAAAUAAUUUUUUCCAUGUAAUUUUUUAUUUUUUUGUAAGUUGUUUGUUGUUGGGAUUUGAAAAUUUUACUGAAAUACGAGGCGGGUGUGUUUUAUUUCUAUUUUUGAUGAUAGAAGGUACUUAUGUUUGAUAUUGAGAUAUGCUAUUGUAUGAUUUUGAUGUGAAGACUCAGAAACUAUGAUAAUGUAGUUAGAUAAUCAAUAGAUUAAAGCUACACAAAGUUGGAUAAUUUCCCUUUAUCAAGAUAUUUGUAGACCUGCCUGUUCAAAUAUUAUCAAAGCUGGAUUAGGAUUAUUUCACUUUAUAGACCUGUUUGUUCAAAUAUGAUUACUUUUUGGAUAAAUCUGAUGGUUAUUUAUGUGCCUGGGAUGUUUGAUCUGAUUUUAAAUAAUAUGUUUGCUUUUGAAUUUGACAACCGAGAAAAAGAAUGGGCAAUAAUAAAAAUUGUAUGUUGAGUUUGAUCCCAAACUUAUGGUAUCUUUCGUUUAUAGUCCCAUGUUUAUAUUAACAAUAACUCAAAAUUAUUCUACUGUAAGACCACGAACAGUUUAGGUUUUGUACCAAAAGCUUUAAGUCCUUUUUCUUAAUAAUUCACAAUUUAGUAACUGAUUACACUUUGAAUGUUUUUAUCGUAGUUGAUAUAAUUCAAUUAUAGAAUUUGACAAAAUUGUGGACCAUCUUGCAACUGUAGAUCGUGGGGUUAAUGUUGUUUUAUUUGAAAGAACUGAGAAAACACAUGUAAGCUGCUUGGCUGCCUUCUUUUAAAUUUAUGUCAUAUUUAUUCUUCUUGACUUACCAUACAUUAAAAUUUUAAAUUCUUCACUGAAUUCAGUAUUAUAACAUAAAACCGUAUGAAAUAUGAUCUUAGUUUUAAAAAGUGAGAGACACCCAAAAGCGACGAGGUCUAAAACUGAGGCGUGAAGUGCAAAAGCGGCAGGCUUUUCGUACCCAAGGCGCAAAGUGAGUAUAUAAAAUAUAUUACAACAGUUUGAUGCAUAAAGACAACGUAAAAACACCCUAGGUACAAGAGGCGCGCUCCUCAGGUCAGA
rnacentral:lncRNA from 1 species